GCGGGAGAGACGCUGUACUCGAAGACGUAGAGAUCACCUCCAGCGAGGAAGCAGUUGAGACAGGAAGAGAUCACACCACCAACCUUGGUUCUAUCACCACAGUUAGGACACGGGGUGUCCCCAUGAUUAUGGGAUGAACUGACAAUGAGGUUGUCCAAGAAAGUCCCGGUUCCAGUCUCUUGACCAUCCCCACGAGUGAAAUGGUUGACUUGUCCUUCACCCACAUAGAUUCCUACAAAUCACACACACAUCACAAAGAAGAAAAGAUCCCAAAACGAUCUUAUUAGUCUAAAGCAACACUUUUAUCUACAAACAUAAUGAGUCCAAGGGGAAGUUAAAUAAGACUGCGCCAAGAACAAUAUAGCAUGAGCAAAACUUCAAACUUGUUCCUCUUAACACACUAGGAUUCACUUCAGGCCUAUUCAUCUAAAUACACACAGCUAAAUGGACUCCAAAUCAUAGCAUCGUUGGAGUCUACAGAAUGAGCCUUGAGCCUUGAGCCUCAUCGAGUCUAAAACAAGUUAGCUAUACCAUUCACAUUCCCUUACAAUGAUCAAAGGAUCACUUUAACAUUCAUAUCAACGAAUCUAAUCAGUUAUUCUACAAUUGAUGCAGCUACAGUUUCAAUUGGAUCAUCUAGCAUGUAGUACAUUGUACGCAUCUGUAACGAGAGAGAGAGAUCGUGAUACCGUGAUGAGCGUAGACAUAGGCCUGACGCCAUGAAUAGAUGUGAUCGCCUGGCUUCACUUCAUCUCUGGCAAUCGCAGGAGAGGAAACGUUAGUCCGUAAGCAGCUUCUUCCGUCUGGAGAAUCUUACGUAUCAGAUCAGUUCCAGCUGUUAUGUUACCCCAUUGAUCACUCCCACCUAUCUGAACAUUGACCCCUUCCUUGUCAAACAAGUGAACAAAGUCAUAGCCUUGCAGUAACUGAUAGCUGAACUCGGUGUAGCUCAUCCCCUGCUCUGAUUCCAAUCUCUUCUUCACACUCUCCUUCGCCAUCAUUACUCCAACCCUCGCAAACCGACCAACCUUUUUCAGAAAGUCCAGCAUGAUCAUAUCUUUCCACCAGUCAUAGUUAUUAAAAAUCACAUAAGAGCUAGCAUCGCCACCAAGAAUCUUGACGAGGAUGUUUUUAAUACCGGCGAUGUUUUUCUCCAAUGUAACGGCGUCAAGCUCAGGUCUUUCUAGGCUUUUACCAGAUGGGUCACCAACCCUUCCAGUGGCGCCACCGAUCAAACCAACGGCUUGAUGUCCACAUCUCUGGAACCAAGAAAGGACAAUGAUACCAAGCAGGUUACCCAAGUGUAAACUCUCAGCCGUUGGAUCAAACCCGCAGUAGACCUUUAGAGGAGCUACGUUGGGAUCAGAACAAGCAGACCUGAGAUUCUCGCUGGUGACUGACUCCAGGAGUCCUCUUUCUUGGAGUAUAUCGACUACAUUAGGGCGAGAAACAGCUUGAACUUCUGUCUCAAGAGUUGAGCACUUAACAGGUGCGAACAGAGGAGUUGUAGACGUGGAGAAAAGGUGAUGAAUUUGGUGCCUUCUGAAGAAAGUGGUGGAGGAUUUCUCAGGAAAACUGAGUAAAGAAGCCACACGCAAGGGAGAUAAGAAGGUUUUUGAACAAAUAGGGAUGAGACUCCUUGAAGCAAGCGUCAUUCCUGUUGUAUAUGCCAUAGGUUUAUCAUAUGAUGAUGAUACCUUUCUUGAACAGAGGAGCUGUUACCUACAACUAAACAUUAAAUAGAAACACCAUCAGCUAAAAAAAUGGUGAAUUACCGAUCUCUCUGCUAGUAAAUAGACUAUUUUAUUAGAUAAGGAAACAAAGCUAGCUGCAAAACAAAAACAAUUCUCAGGGAGUCAAUUUGACGAACACCUUAUGGGCAUUAACAAUACAGUCCCACAUUACUCCAUGAAAACACGGAAACACUAUCGUUCAAUCUCCAAAACUGUAAAAAAAUUUAAAAGGAAUCCCAAAAGAUUACACCAAGAACUAUAAAGGAAUCAUCAUUGCAUCUCACACACUAAUGCAUUCCAAGAACAGAGCGAAAGAAACUACUUGAGAGGAACAAACAAAUUAAUAUGUAUACUGCAUAACACACACCUAAAAUGGAUAAAGAAUCAAACUUUGAGAAGCAAAGUGCUUACUGGUUUUGUAGCUCUGGGAAUGGAUUUUGUUUUCUACCUUUGCUUUGCCCCACACACAGACCAAAUGCUUUGAGAAACAUGAUAAACCGAUUAAUCUCCGGUCUAAAUUCAGACAUACUAAACCGGUCUGCUUUUUUUAAUUUAAUUUUGUCGUUCCACUGAGUGAAUAAAAUAUUUAUUUACAUGUUUCUCUGAUGAAAAUAAAAAUUCGAUAUUUUCUCAAAAACAAAAAAAAAACAUGUGGUCGUUACUUGUCUGUUAAACUCGAAAAGAACCAAACUUUUAUCCUCUCUCUCUCUUCUUCAGCUUACAAUGGAGUGGCCAUGGUCAGCCAUCGCUGCUUCUUCUUCUCCUUAUUCUUCUAGAUGCUUCUUUACAUCUCCCAACUCUUGCUUGUCUCUUACUAGACGAGCGAAUUUGAACUCUUCGAUUAAACCUUUGCGACACAUCGGAUUCGACUCGAAGCAUCAUAAUCUGAUCACCAAACGUCGAGUCCAUGGAGACUCCAUCGUCCGGAGAAGCACCACAAGCAGUAAAAACGCAGAGGAGACUGAGUCCUCUGUAGAGUGCGUGGGAAUGGGAUCAGACGUGGAGUGCGUCUACACCGGAGAAGGAGAAGACGAGGAGGAGGAGAAUCGGAGCUCCGGAAUCUUGAGCGGAGGAGACGGAUCGUUGCUCGAAUGGGCGGUUCUGAUCUCGCCAUUCUUUUUCUGGGGAACGGCGAUGGUGGCGAUGAAGGAAGUGUUGCCGAUAACCGGUCCGUUCUUCGUGGCUGCGUUCCGGUUAAUUCCGGCCGGUUUGUUGUUGGUUGCGUUUGCGGUUUACAGAGGGAGGCCUUUGCCUAAGGGGUUCGAUGCUUGGCUCUCUAUUGCUCUCUUUGCUCUUGUGGACGCUACUUGUUUCCAGGUCUGCCUUAGAGUUUAGUUGAUUAAGUAUUGUCUGAACAAUAAUAAUAAUAAUAAUUAUUAUAAUAAUAAUGGUGAUGUUUGAUGGUUCAGGGCUUUCUUGCUCAAGGAUUACAGAGGACUUCUGCUGGUUUAGGAAGUGUAAGGAAGCUCUCUCUCUCUGUCUGCUACCUUUGUACUAAUGUCUGUAAUGACCAAAAGUCUGAGACUUUCUUUUCGUGUAGGUUAUAAUUGAUUCACAGCCACUGACUGUAGCUGUAUUAGCAUCUUUUUUAUUUGGUGAGUCCAUUGGAAUAGUGAGAGCUGGAGGUUUGGUUCUUGGUGUUGCUGGACUUUUGCUUCUUGAGGUAAAUAAGAUUUUUAUCUUUCUUAGCCAAGACUGUUCUUGCAAGUUGAGGAUAAGUCUGAUUUACUAUUACUACAGGUUCCAUCAGUUACCUCAGAUGGUGAUAGCUUUUCUUUGUGGGGAAGUGGAGAGUGGUGGAUGCUUCUUGCAGCUCAGAGUAUGGCUAUUGGCACUGUGAUGGUUCGAUGGGUCUCAAAAUACUCGGAUCCAAUUAUGGCAACCGGCUGGGUAAUGAUGUUUUGUCCUUGUCUCUUAGAGUUAUCCUGACAAGAACUAAACUGAACAUGUCUCAAAUUAUAUCUGCAGCAUAUGGUUCUUGGUGGCCUUCCUCUUCUGGCGAUAUCAGUUAUAAACCAAGACCCGGUUUUUAACGGCAGUCUUCAGGAGCUAUCCACAAAUGAUAUCAUAGCACUUCUCUACACAUCUAUAUUUGGCAGUGCGGUUAGCUACGGUGUUUACUUCUACAGCGCUACUAAAGGUUCUAUUUUGCUGCCUUCUCUUGAUAGUAUAUGGCUGCUUUAUGUUUCAGGUCUUUGAUGCUUUUAUAAUGACUCUCUCUCUCUCUCUCUCUUUGCAGGAAGCUUGACUAAACUCAGCUCACUCACCUUUUUGACACCAAUGUUUGCAUCAAUCUUUGGGUAAGGCCACAUGGUUCUUUCUUAUCAGUCUUUGGAUCGUAUUCUGAUAUGUUUGGUUCUGAAACAGGUAUCUGUACCUUGAUGAGACUUUCUCCUCGCUGCAACUGGUCGGAGCAGCCGUCACUUUGGUCGCGAUAUACUUGGUCAAUUUUCCAGAAGGCAACAACUGAUACACUCAGUUUUCAAAGCUUCUUAUGAAUGUUAAAACAUAAUUACGUUCGAUUACAUUUGUAUAUAUAGUUAAGUGAACAAUCAUUAGUCCAGCAAACACCUUUAAUUAAGGUUUCAUCAUAUUAACAUAAGAAAUGAAGUUGCACAAUUCGAUACAACCGAAAACAUAUGAUCUUAGUUCACAAGAAUUACAAUCAGAGAUCGAUCAUAGUCCCAAGCACAGACCAGUUGUCUGCGUAGUUCCCGGUUAACUUGUCUUUUUCUCCUCCGGUUUAGUUUCCAUCCCAUCCAUAUCAGCAACUAGUCUCUCCUCCGGUUUAGUUUCCAUCCCAGCCAGAUCAUCCAUAUCAGCAACUAGUCUCUCCACAGGCACCUUGCUCACAUCCCAUCGCAUGCCAAUGUCUGAAACCAAACGACUGGCGCAGUACAUCCCAUAUCCCGCCACAGCCAAACUACCAAACCCCGCAACAAACCUGAGUGGUGAAGAGAGCACAACGCUGGCAGCUGCAACAAUCGAAGCGGCUUGACCACUCCUUCCCACGUCAGUGUUCGCCACAAGCAAACCAGUUUUGCAAUAGAUGGCGAAAUCCUCGCAGUUGUUCUUGAAAACAUUGUAAACGCCGAAACCGUUUCGCAAGAGGAAGUUCGCUCGGUGGAUGACUUCUUCCGGAGGAUCCGAAUCUCCUAUUGUGCAUGUGCCGCCUCGAGGCUUGGCGAGAAAGAUAGCGGGAGAGACGCUGUACUCGAAGACGUAGAGAUCACCUCCAGCGAGGAAGCAGUUGAGACAGGAAGAGAUCACACCACCAACCUUGGUUCUAUCACCACAGUUAGGACACGGGGUGUCCCCAUGAUUAUGGGAUGAACUGACAAUGAGGUUGUCCAAGAAAGUCCCGGUUCCAGUCUCUUGACCAUCCCCACGAGUGAAAUGGUUGACUUGUCCUUCACCCACAUAGAUUCCUACAAAUCACACACACAUCACAAAGAAGAAAAGAUCCCAAAACGAUCUUAUUAGUCUAAAGCAACACUUUUAUCUACAAACAUAAUGAGUCCAAGGGGAAGUUAAAUAAGACUGCGCCAAGAACAAUAUAGCAUGAGCAAAACUUCAAACUUGUUCCUCUUAACACACUAGGAUUCACUUCAGGCCUAUUCAUCUAAAUACACACAGCUAAAUGGACUCCAAAUCAUAGCAUCGUUGGAGUCUACAGAAUGAGCCUUGAGCCUUGAGCCUCAUCGAGUCUAAAACAAGUUAGCUAUACCAUUCACAUUCCCUUACAAUGAUCAAAGGAUCACUUUAACAUUCAUAUCAACGAAUCUAAUCAGUUAUUCUACAAUUGAUGCAGCUACAGUUUCAAUUGGAUCAUCUAGCAUGUAGUACAUUGUACGCAUCUGUAACGAGAGAGAG
rnacentral:lncRNA from 1 species